rnacentral:piRNA from 2 species
UCCUAAUAUUUAUUGCUGUGGUGCUG